AUAAAAGGCAGCCUUCUUGAGUAAAAAAAAGCCAAGGCUAGAAAAAAAAUAUCGAGCGAAAAAUAGAAAUGAUAAAAGAAUGCUCAAAAGAAUAAGUUGACUUGGUUAGAUGGUCACUUGGUUAGAUGGUCGAAAAAUCUCAUGUUUGGGUGUUGAGCUGUGAGAAAUUUGUACGCAUUGACUGAGAUGUGAAAGAUGUUGUGAUGGAUGUGCUAGUAUUUUAAGAAUGGUGGUAAGCUACUUAACCAUAUAUUAUCCCACCUUUACCAAAAGCCCCGUUACAUCCCAAUGAAUAAGACCUUUUCAUUUAUGCAUCAUAUUGACUUGUGAGCGAUGAAUUUUGCUUGAAUUUGGGAGAAAGAUCUUAUGUGCUUAAAAUAAAGAAUAGCCGGAAGAACUUCCCUUUAGGAACUAGUAACGAUGGUUUGAGACUCCCAAGACACAACUCGAACUUAUAUUGAAGCAUGGGAUGCCUAGGUCUUAAGGAAUUAGUUCGUGUACAAUUAUUGUUCGAAAGUUUUACCCGCGAGUGAAUUCACGGUCGACCUAAUUUCCCUACUGAUUCGUUGGCGUGACUUGAAGGAGAGGAUUAUCUAAUAUCUUCUGACUGUGCUUUAUUGUCUAACUUGCUCGAGGGCUAGCAAGACUUAAGUUAUGGGGGCGUUUGAUGUGAGUGGGUAAUUGUCUAACUUGUUCCUCGGAGUAUACAAUGGAAUGGAGGGUAGCGUAUUACUGCUCCAAGUCAGUUUUGACCACUUCGAUAUUAAGUUGGUCUUGCUGUGUCCAAAAUCUAAAGAUCACGAUACCAGGAUGUGUGGAAAGAAUUUCUAGAUUAAAGAGUUGUGUGCCAAUCCUAUUUGAGGCGACUGAGAUAAUUUCUAGAGCAGUCAUUUCAGCUGGAAUCACAAACAGAGUUGACACCGAUGAAUGGAAUCCAUCCACUGAUACACAUCUUCCUCGAUUGAUAACCUCUCUGGAAAUGUUGUGAUACACCCAAAAUUUUAACUAUUAUUCCAGCAGUUGUGUUUGUCUACGACAGUUUGAUCAACUAGCACGGGACCAAGUUUUCUAUAGAUUGCAAACUUGAGUUUGCUCGUACUGCUUGCUCAUCUAAAUUCUGCUGUUGGGCUGCGCUGCAAGCAAAACUCGUUCCUUUGUUGAGAGCUCUACUUUACUGUUGAUCAGUUCCAGAGAUGUCCACUGUUCUUCAAUAACCAUGUUCGAGCCUUGUUUCCAUUCAAUAUACAUCCAACACAUGUUAUCCCAGCUAGCCAUAUUCUUGCCAAGUCUCUUUUCUCAGCCCUCUUACAAUCACUGCUCUUGAGGGCAAAUAAAAUCAAACUCAGGGGAGAAAGCUUUGGUUCUGCUUUCGGAUAGAAGUGAGACCUUCUACCAACUAAUCCUCGGAUACUUGACUAAGUUGAUGAUCUUCCACACCUAAGUUAUUUGAGCGUUUAGUUCUUCACAAUCUUCAAUAUAGAUAUUUACAAGAUAAUUUAAAUAGAAUGGCAGGCUCUGGAUUUUUGUCCGUCAAUCCAUAUAAAAAUGUCUAGGUAUAUGGGGAUGAUAAAGAAAGAAGCUUUUGGACACUCCUCAUCCUUAUGCUGUAGCUGAUGCGGCAUACAAUGCAAUGAUAGCAGAUGAAGUAAGCCUGGCUAUAAUUAUCAGUUUAAGCUGAAAAGGUUAAGAGAGUGGACGGAAGGGGCACAAAAUGAGGAAAUUGACUGAUAAGAAAGGAGGGAGGUGCAAAAAAAGAAAAAAAGAAAGAAAAAAAGAAAAAAAAGAAAGGAGGUGCAAAAAAGAAAAAGAAAAAGAAAAAAAAGUAAGAUGGAGAUGCAUGCAAAAAUAGAAGAUAAAGCGUUGUUGGUGGAGAUGGAAUCAAGAACUGUUACAAGGGAGAAAAGGAGUUGAUAUAGGAGAGGAAUGAGGCUGACAUAGGGGGGAACAAGAUGAGGAAGUUGCCUGAUAAGAAAGAAGGAGAUGCUAAAAAUAAGAAAGAAAGAAAGGAGGUGCACGCAAAGAAAGAAGAUAAAGAUCUGUUGGAGAGAUGAAAUCAACAACCUCAUGAACUAUUACAAGGGAGAAAAGGAGUUGAAGUAGGAGAGGAAUAGGCUGACACAGUUCUGAACAGGCAAGGGAAGAAGGGAAAACUGCCCAGUCUAGGACAUGCUACAGAUCCCAUGACGUGCAGAAGCUGACCAACACAAGGUAGUGACAGUUCCCACACAAGACCUUCUACCAACCAAUCCUCGGAUACUUUACUAAGUUGAUGAUCUUCCACAACUAAGUUAUUUGAGCGAGCCUUUAGUUCUUCACAAUCUUCAGUAUA